GCCUACGGGGCGCAGCAGUGGGGAAUCUUGCGCAAUGGGCGAAAGCCUGACGCAGCAACGCCGCGUGGAGGAUGAAGGCCCUUGGGUUGUAAACUCCUGUCGGCUGGGAAGAAAUCACACGGUGCUCAUACCACCGUGUGUUGACUGUACCAGCAAAGGAAGCCCCGGCUAACUCUGUGCCAGCAGCCGCGGUAAUACAGAGGGGGCCAGCGUUAUUCGGAAUUAUUGGGCGUAAAGGGCGCGUAGGCGGCCUUGCGUGUCUUUCGUGAAAUCCCUCGGCUUAACUGAGGACGUGCGGAAGAAACUGCAGGGCUCGAGUCCGGGAGAGGGGGGUGGAAUUCCCAGUGUAGCGGUGAAAUGCGUAGAUAUUGGGAGGAACACCGGUGGCGAAGGCGGCCCCCUGGACCGGUACUGACGCUGAUGCGCGAAAGCGUGGGGAGCAAACGGGAUUAGAUACCCGUGUAGUCC
rnacentral:rRNA from 1 species